rnacentral:lncRNA from 1 species
GGAAGCAAGGCAUCAAAGCCUUCAUGUCGUGCUCUCGUUGAUCGUGUAGUGCGGCUUAAGAAGAAAAAGCGAGAUUUACUAUGCAGCACGUUUUCCCUAUUUAGAAGUGGCAUUUAAGAUGAGAGAACCAUGUAAGAGAUAGGAGAAUCUUCUGCUGCUUGUUGUUCUUCAUGAAAGGAAAAAUAGAGUCAGAAGAGCAGCUGAACAAGAGGUGAAUCUUAGGUUGGUUAUAUGUGGUGCAGUUUCCUCUCUCCAAGGAUGACUGGUCGUAAAGGAAAGGAAUUGUGAAAGCUGAGUCUGCUGCAUCAUUCUCUGUGGGGAUCACAUCACAAAACUCUGAAGACCUUUGAACUGUGAGUUAAAUCCCACAGUGUUUGAUAUACAGGACAGUAUCCAGGCUUCUACCAAACAGAUCUAAAAGUAGUAUAGGUCUGUAUUUUAUGUAUGUAUAUAUUUAUGGGUAGGGAUAAAUUAUUCUAUGGAUUAGACCAAUUAACAUAGAUGAGAAG